rnacentral:ncRNA from 1 species
UUCGAGAGAGACCGAAUGGCGCCGAAGGGGCAAAAACUCUCAGGCAAAAGUAUCGAAUC